rnacentral:rRNA from 1 species
UACGGGGGGGGCAAGCGUUGUUCGGAAUUACUGGGCGUAAAGGGCUCGUAGGUGGCCAACUAAGUCAGACGUGAAAUCCCUCGGCUUAACCGGGGAACUGCGUCUGAUACUGGAUGGCUUGAGUUCGGGAGAGGGAUGCGGAAUUCCUGGUGUAGAGGUGAAAUUCGUAGAUAUCAGGAGGAACACCGGUGGCGAAAGCGGCUUCCUGGCCCGACACUGACGCUCAUGUACGAAAGCGUGGGGAGCAAACAGG